AGACAGCAGUCGCCGCGGGAAUACGGAGGAUCCAAGCGUUAUCCGGAAUCAUUGGGUUUAAAGGGUCCGUAGGCGGUCUUGUAAGUCAGUGGUGAAAGCCCAUCGCUCAACGGUGGAACGGCCAUUGAUACUGCAGGACUUGAAUUAUUGGGAAGUAACUAGAAUAUGUAGUGUAGCGGUGAAAUGCUUAGAGAUUACAUGGAAUACCAAUUGCGAAGGCAGGUUACUACCAAUUGAUUGACGCUGAUGGACGAAAGCGUGGGUAGCGAACAGGAUUAGAUACCCCAGUAGUCCCUGUCUCUUAUAC
rnacentral:rRNA from 1 species